GCCAAUGAUGAUAAAUCGUAAAUUGACCGAAAUGCAAGUUUUUAAUAUCUGUCGUGGUGUUGAAAUUCUUGAACUAGGAUGAUUUGAGAGC